GGUGGCAUGGCCAAGUGGUAAGGCAGGGGACUGCAAAUCCGUUACCCCCAGUUCAAAUCUGGGUUCCGCCU
rnacentral:tRNA from 1 species